CACAUGCAAGUCGAACGAGAAAGUGGAGCAAUCCAUGAGUACAGUGGCGUACGGGUGAGUAACACGUGACUAACCUACCCUCGAGUGGGGAAUAACUUCGGGAAACCGAGGCUAAUACCGCAUAAUGUCUACGGACCAAAUGCGCAAGCAGCUUGAGGAGGGGGUCGCGGCUGACUAGCUUGUUGGCGGGGUAACGGCCCACCAAGGCAAUGAUCAGUAGCCGGCCUGAGAGGGCGCACGGCCACACUGGAACUGAAACACGGUCCAGACUCCUACGGGAGGCAGCAGUGGGGAAUUUUGCGCAAUGGGGGAAACCCUGACGCAGCAACGCCGCGUGGAGGAUGAAGCCCCUUGGGGUGUAAACUCCUUUCGAUCGGGACGAUUAUGACGGUACCGGAUGAAGAAGCACCGGCUAACUCUGUGCCAGCAGCCGCGGUAAUACAGAGGGUGCAAGCGUUGUUCGGAAUUAUUGGGCGUAAAG
rnacentral:rRNA from 1 species